rnacentral:pre_miRNA from 1 species
CUCCACACUGAGCAAAGAAAAUUAUUGGCUCAUUGUUUUCUUUGCUCAGUGUGUGGACAAUGAGCCAAUAUUUUCUUUGCUCAGUGUGUGG